rnacentral:ncRNA from 1 species
AAAAAAACUAUGAUUAGGAAAAGUACUUAUAUUUUAUUCUUUAAGAGAGUGGCUGGUUGGUGUGAAGUCAUAGAAAAAUUUAAGGAAAAUCACCUAGGAGUUGAAAGCUGAAAGGAAAUUUCUUAUUAAGCUUAUCCGUUAGCCUGCGUUAAAGGAUAGGGUAUGUUAGUACUCGAAAGAAAAGUCUUAUUUUUAUAUAAGAAUUUAACCAUGGGUGGUAUAGCGAAUUCACUUCGUCCUAUUA